AGCUUGCUCCUUUGACGUUAGCGGCGGACGGGUGAGUAACACGUGGGUAACCUACCUAUAAGACUGGGAUAACUUCGGGAAACCGGAGCUAAUACCGGAUAACAUUUGGAACCGCAUGGUUCUAAAGUGAAAGAUGGUUUUGCUAUCACUUAUAGAUGGACCCGCGCCGUAUUAGCUAGUUGGUAAGGUAACGGCUUACCAAGGCGACGAUACGUAGCCGACCUGAGAGGGUGAUCGGCCACACUGGAACUGAGACACGGUCCAGACUCCUACGGGAGGCAGCAGUAGGGAAUCUUCCGCAAUGGGCGAAAGCCUGACGGAGCAACGCCGCGUGAGUGAUGAAGGGUUUCGGCUCGUAAAACUCUGUUAUUAGGGAAGAACAAAUGUGUAAGUAACUGUGCACGUCUUGACGGUACCUAAUCAGAAAGCCACGGCUAACUACGUGCCAGCAGCCGCGGUAAUACGUAGGUGGCAAGCGUUAUCCGGAAUUAUUGGGCGUAAAGCGCGCGUAGGCGGUUUCU
rnacentral:rRNA from 1 species